UUCAAAUGGGAGCAAGAUUCUGGCUUCUCACAAGAUGGAUGGCGCUGAUUAUAGCCAACUGAAUGCCGCUUCUCCAGAUAUCAUUUCGUCCAUUUAUUCAGUUGGGGGUGUCUCUGGUUUGGAUGACUAUAACUUGAUAGACGGUCUUAGAUAUGAUCAAGCUUUGAGUUAUCCAGGCCAAAUUGCCAACUCCCUUAUCUGUGACACAGAUUCCAUCUCUCAAACAUUCUGUGAUGAGGAUCACCUGCGGUUCUUUGAUACAGAUCUCCAGUCACAGAAUCUCAGUUUAGAAUCACCGGCUGAUCUACAGAGUGCUGUUGACGGCUUCCUAAUGACACGCUCCACAACUCUUGCGAUGGGAAAAGCUCAGAGGAGGUGGACCAAGCUGUUUAGUGUGCUGAAGUGGUUCUCUAUAAGGAAAAUUGUGACUUUGAAAAGAAUUCAUACUCGAGAAAUUCAGAGAUAUCAUACUGGGAUGUGAAUAUUUGGUUUCAUCAUCAUACUAGAUAUAGAAUUUCUGGGUGCUGCCCGAUUAAAUUUUGUGUGCAGUUGUAGAUUUCUACAAGCUGGAAAUUUCAUCAGGUGUAGAUAUAGCUAGUAGCUAAGAAAUUUUGCCUCUGCUGGCUCAAGAUGGAAAAGUUUAUCUUUUUCUCAUGUUAAAAUUGUAAAUAUUUUUUAGAUGGUUGCAGUCAGAGAAGUAGGCUGGGUUACUUAGCAAGGAACUUGGAAGUUGCUUCAAUUGAGGCUUGAAUACUCGUGUGAAAGCACAAAUUGUAAAACAGUGUCUAUUAUGUGGGAUCUUCAUUCUGUAAGACUGCAUUCUCAAUAAUAAAUGCGAGCUUUUAUGAUUUUAUAAUAAAUUAUUAAUUUUUUUAGAUUUUGAUUUGAGUAAUUUAUUUUUAUAUAGUUAUAAUUAUUUUUUAGUAAUGAUAUAGUCAUAAAUUCUUGUACAAAUUUAUUUUGCACAAAUUUAUAUGGCAUGAUAAGACUGGUUGAAUUAAAUAUCAAUUGGCCCACAUGAUUUGUUUUCAUUAUUUUAUAUUUUUAUUCAACCAAUGAAUUAGUGCCACGUUAGUUUGUAUAAAAUAAGUUUGUACAAAAUAAGUUUGUACAAUAGUUUGUGGUUGUAUCAUUACUCAUUAUUUUUAUAUUGUAAAAAUAUUCUUUAAUGUUGUUAUUACAUCUUUCAACUUGGGUACAUAAUAACUUAUUAGCAUAAAUAUUUUCUUGUUGACAAUAAAAUAUUUCUGGAUUUUACACGUUUACAGCUUCAUAAAAUUGGCAUAUUUCGGUAAUAUUAUGGGUGGGCACGGUUUGGGUUGCAAUCCACGUGUAGUAUGGGUUGAAAAAAUUCAACUCAACCUAACUUGUUAUAUGCCUCAAUCCAAUCUAAUUCAACCCGUAAAAUUUUGGGUUGGGUUUUUGACAAAGGUUUAUUUUUAUGGUAAAAAAGUUUGCUAAAAAUAAUGCUACAAAACAAUGCUCUUUGUCAAGAAGUUUUUUUCCCAAAGAUAAUAUUUGUGCCAGUCCGAUUGAGCUUGUUCUUGAUGCGUUAACAACCAAAAAUUGACCAAUUUGUUUCAUAAAAAGAAUUAUUAUAGAGCACUUAAUGAUUUUAUCCAAAUCAAUUCUUAACAAAAAAAAGUCAAAAAUUAAUUAGUAAAUUAGACUGCUGUACCGUACAUCCGCCUUGGCCGUACAGCAGGAUGACAGAGAUUUCAAAUGGGAGCAAGAUUCUGGCUUCUCACAAGAUGGAUGGCGCUGAUUAUAGCCAACUGAAUGCCGCUUCUCCAGAUAUCAUUUCGUCCAUUUAUUCAGUUGGGGGUGUCUCUGGUUUGGAUGACUAUAACUUGAUAGACGGUCUUAGAUAUGAUCAAGCUUUGAGUUAUCCAGGCCAAAUUGCCAACUCCCUUAUCUGUGACACAGAUUCCAUCUCUCAAACAUUCUGUGAUGAGGAUCACCUGCGGUUCUUUGAUACAGAUCUCCAGUCACAGAAUCUCAGUUUAGAAUCACCGGCUGAUCUACAGAGUGCUGUUGACGGCUUCCUAAUGACACGCUCCACAACUCUUGCGAUGGGAAAAGCUCAGAGGAGGUGGACCAAGCUGUUUAGUGUGCUGAAGUGGUUCUCUAUAAGGAAAAU
rnacentral:lncRNA from 1 species